CAAAGAUGUCGGACCAAAAAGAAAGAAAGAAAGAAAGCAAAGAUGCUGAUGAUUUCUGAAAUGAAAAGAGAGAAGGAGACAUAUGAGAAAGCAAGGAUGCUGAAGAAAAUAUCAGGGCUGCAUAGGCCAAGGAUUUUACAAGUGAAGAUGGUGAAAAGAGGCAGAUGGCAGUUGCUACCUAUCUUGUGAUUCUUGUCGAUAAAUAUUGUCUGAGGGCUGGAAAUGAUAAGUGUCAGCAUAAUGGUCUAACAGGAUCCAAGUUUUAGAGAGAGAGUAUGAACAGGAAAAUUCAAACCAUUUACCUUCAAAGAAUUCAACAGAAUCAGUUGUGCAUGCUUUACUUUUAUUGCUGGCAGGAUGAUGAUGAAAUUGAUACUGUUGAGUGCUGCAAAUUAAAAGUAGCUAGAGUACGUCAAAACAAUUCCCCCUAACUCGUUGGAGUUCAACUUCCUUGUUAAAGAUUCAAUAAGAUGUGAAACUACUGUUGACGUUGAGCUUCCUGUUUACAAGGCCAUUGAAGAGUUCCUGGCUGGAAAGAAUGGUAGUGAAGGUCUAUUUGACAAGUUGGAGAAUACCAGUGAAUUGAAUGCACAUCUAGAGGGACUGAUGCCUGGCCUUACAGGAAAAGUAUUCCGUACAGUACAUACAAUGCAUGCAUUACAUUGGAUGAAAUAUUGAACAAAGAAACUCCCUCUGGAGCUGUUUCAGAGAAAGCAGGUGUUUAUAGACAGGCAACCAGGGAGGUUGCUAUUAUCUGCAAUUUUCAGCGUACUGUCGCAAGGCCUGGUGGUGUACGGAUGUACUGGUUAAAAGAGAACAUGAGUGAGUUGCAGGGCACAUUGACAGAGCUGAAAACAGAUUUGGACAGGGCAGUAAUGAGAUUGCCCCCACUGAGAAAUUCUAAUGGAAAACUAAAGAGAACCCUGACCCCAGAAGAGUAAUUGAACUUGUUUGCUAUUCUAAACCAAUAUUUCUAUCAAGUGCGGAUGAUUCCUUGUGAGUUUUGAUUUGAUACAUGUUAGAGAGGACGAUAGCAGAAACAAUUCAGAUGACUGAAAAAUUGGAACAGGAUAUGAGAACCCAAGAGAACCAGAAAUGCAUGUCAGUGGGAAUGCCCAAAAUCAAGUAUCUUGACCCUAGGAUCACUGUUGCAUAGUGUAAGCGAAAAGAAGUUCCUAUUAACAAAAUAUACACCGAGUGUUAUGUGCCAAUGUUUGAGUGGGCAGUGGAUGUGGAUAUCGACUUAAGAUUCUGAUAUGAGGGCAUCUGCAUCUGCUUAAUCAUGUGCUUAUUCUAUCUAUUGUAAAAAAC